AUACGUAGGGUGCGAGCGUUAAUCGGAAUUACUGGGCGUAAAGCGUGCGCAGGCGGCUUUAUAAGCCAGAUGUGAAAUCCCCGGGCUCAACCUGGGAACUGCAUUUGGAACUGUAAGGCUAGAGUACGGCAGAGGGGGGUAGAAUUCCACGUGUAGCAGUGAAAUGCGUAGAUAUGUGGAGGAAUACCGAUGGCGAAGGCAGCCCCCUGGGUCGAUACUGACGCUCAUGCGCGAAAGCGUGGGGAGCAAACAGGAUUAGAUACCCUAGUAGUCC
rnacentral:rRNA from 1 species